rnacentral:rRNA from 1 species
AUUGAACGCUGGCGGCAGGCCUAACACAUGCAAGUCGAAAGAGUGGCGGACGGGUGAGUAAUGUCUGGGAAACUGCCCGAUGGAGGGGGAUAACUACGGGAAACAGUAGCUAAUACCGCCUACCAUCGGAUGUGCCCAAAUGGGAUUAGCUAGUGGGUGGGGUAACGGCUUACCAAGGCGACGAUCCCUAGCUGGUCUGAGAGGAUGACCAGCCACACGGGAACUGAGACACGGUCCAGACUCCUACGGGAGGCAGCAGUGGGGAAUAUUGCACAAUGGGCGCAAGCCUGAUGCAGCCAUGCCGCGUGUAUGAAGAAGGCCUUCGGGUUGUAAAGUACUUUCAGUGAGGAGGCGUUACUCACAGAAGAAGCACCGGCUAACUCCGUGCCAGCAGCCGCGGUAAUUC